rnacentral:rRNA from 1 species
GUAUACGGCCAUGCCACCCUGAACGUGCCUGAUAUUGUCUCAUCUCGGAAGCUAAUAAGCAGGGUCGGGCCUGAUUAGUACUUGGAUGGGAAACCACCUAGGAAUAACAGGUGCUGUAGGCG